rnacentral:lncRNA from 1 species
CAUUCCCUGGGGAGGUGGUCCCAGCCUGGAGUGGUCUCACCCUUCACCAAGAUGUGCCCAGAGCCUAUCAAUUUCAGUUCUUAAAAGCGUCCGGCUGAGACUACUGACCUCGAACGCUGACAACCUAAGGAAACGCCCAUGAGACAGCAAACCACGUGACUCCUUUCCCUGUUCAGGAGUUUUACCCUCAGAACCAAGCUACGAUGAUGUGAAGAGGUCAAGCAGCCAUGUGAAAAGGCCACAUUUAGGUGUUCCAAGCACAGCCCUAGUUAUCUAACCAGCCAGCAGUCAUCAUCAAUCACUAGAUGUUAGUGGAUAACAGAACAAGAACUAAUACGUGAUCUUAGCAAAGUAACAGAUUACAAGGUCAACAUACAAAAAUCAAUUGGAUUUACAUAUAUACUAGCAGCAAACUGUUGAGACUAUUGUGAAGAUUAAAUACGAUAAUAGAUGACAAACUUUCAACAUUCAAUGGAUGCUCCUCAUUGUGAUAUGUGCUGUAUCACACUCCUUUUCCAUCUUCGGAAAUAGACUGACCAAGACUCAGUGUUGAGUCUGAAGUUGCCAGGCUGGCAGAUGUGAAAAAAAUCCAGAUGUAAAAGUAUAACAGAGUUAUAAGCAACUGGAACCCACGUCUAUCUCAAGUUGCCUUCACCCGUGAUAAUGCAAGUGACCCGCAGGUGAAGCUGGCAUCCUUCACCAAAAAAAUAUAUAUGACUCACAUAGAAGUUGAAUGAGGAAAUUCACCAGGAGAUCCAGCACUUUGGAGAAGCUGCAGAAGAAGAUGCUGCGGGAGAUGGAGAACUUAGAGGCACAGAUGUUGCUCCAAAUCCACAGUGAGCCAGCAGAUCAGCAAGAAUUAUACAACCUGUUCAGUUUCUGGUACCCUACACUGACCUUUAGAAUGUAGAAAUAACUGUUGUUUAACACCCUCCCUGGUGGUUUAUUUGAACUUUUU